rnacentral:rRNA from 1 species
AACGAACGCUGGCGGCAUGCCUAACACAUGCAAGUCGAACGAGACCUUCGGGUCUAGUGGCGCACGGGUGCGUAACGCGUGGGAACCUGCCCUUAGGUUCGGAAUACCUCCCCGAAAGGGGUGCUAAUACCGGAUAAUGUCUUCGGACCAAAGAUUUAUCGCCUUUGGAUGGGCCCGCGUUGGAUUAGCUAGUUGGUAGGGUAAAAGCCUACCAAGGCGACGAUCCAUAGCUGGUCUGAGAGGAUGAUCAGCCACACUGGGACUGAGACACGGCCCAGACUCCUACGGGAGGCAGCAGUGGGGAAUAUUGGACAAUGGGCGAAAGCCUGAUCCAGCAAUGCCGCGUGAGUGAUGAAGGCCUUAGGGUUGUAAAGCUCUUUUACCCGGGAUGAUAAUGACAGUACCGGGAGAAUAAGCGCCGGCUAACUCCGUG